GCAUCAAUAUCAACACGGUCCGUUUAAUCAGAUGGCAUGGCAUCAAUACCAGAACGGUUGGUUUAAUCAGGUGGCUUGGCAACAAUAUCCGCAAUUUUGUACAAAUCCACAGUUUCCUCUAGUCUACUGGGAUUCAUAUCGUGGAGCAUAUAUUCAAAUUCCACACCC